rnacentral:lncRNA from 1 species
CCUUAAACUCUCUCUUCAUUCACAAAACUAAGCGACCUGGACCUUCUUCAACAAGUAUAUUUUCAACCAAUCCCAACAAUCUCCAUUUUCAUUGAGAAUAAUAUAUUAACUUUCAUUGUCUUCACCGACAAUCAUACUCCAUCAUAAAAAGUAUAGUCACUUGCAACUACACCACUCCAUGAAUUUUCACAUCGUUUUCACCGACAAUCAUAGUUUUAAAAAUUAUCACACUUUCUCAUGAAGAAUAUAUUUCACUUGAAGAUAAAUCACUUCAAGAAUUUUCACAUGUCGAAAAUCAAAACUAUGGUUAAAAACUUAUGGUGCAACUUCCUUGUUGACAGAAAGUUCUUCAACUACCGACAUAAUCUUGCACAUUGUGUAAUCUUGAUUGUAUCAACACAUCUUUGACUUGAACUUUCUAAAAGUCAAAAAAAAAUCCAUCAGUUUUCUCUGACCCGAACUACACCGCAGAUACCAGUUUUGGGAGAAAACAAAGCAUACUAAGAACACUUAUUAAUGUAUAGAACCAAAAGUUCUAAUACCAUUUGUUAGGAGAAAACAAAGCAUAGAGAAAAAAGAGAAAAACAAUCACAAUACAAGAAAAUAAUUUGGAAACUCAAAAAUAGAAGAAAAAACCAUUGUCGUUGUCAAUAAACAACCAGAGAAUAACGUGAAAAAUGGUUAUAAUACAUAAUAUAUACUAUCAACUAACUCAGACCCUAGUACACCCACACCCUCCAAAACAAAUAUUUAACUACAUUUCACAACACUCUAAUACAAGAGCAUAAGAGAACAAAGAAAGUCAAGUAAUACAAGAGCAUAAGAGAACAAAAAAAAUCAAAUACAAAUUUAAAAUAUUUUUGACUAAUGCAUCUUGGAAUGAAAAACUUAUAUUUUAUAUAGAGUCUUAGACUCUCUCUAUUCAUAAAACUAAAUAAUGUGAGACUUUUUUCAACAUGUAUAUUUUCGACCAACCCUAAUAUAAUCAGUACAUAAGUUUUUUCUCGAAGGUCAUAACUGAAAUUCCAAUUCAAAUUUCGAACUGUCUUUUUCUUGUUGGCUUUUAUAUGGUCAUAUUCAAACUCUCUUCAAGCCUCUCAGACGCUGCAUGGCUUUACACGUUUGGUGGUCCAUGGUUUCACUAUCACUUCACAUUCUAAACUUCAUAGUUUCCUUGACAUUUGUAACCCCAUAACAGGUUAGUAUUCUCUCCGAGUCUCUCUCAAGAAAAAUGGUUAAGGCGAAUGAAGAUUCAUAGAAAUAGGACAAAGAAUCACAAACUGUUCACAACCUCUAAAAACUUCCAAAGACUUUCAUAAUUUUGAAUUUUUCAUAUCGAUAGUGACCAUAAAGUUUGAACCAACCAUAAUAGUCUAUAUAAUUUUUCAGCCAUUCAGGUUACUGAACGCGUAAACAACGGUAGAUUCGGUUGCAAAUUCUAUAGAGAAUCUUUGUAUUUACUAUUCCAACUAUAUGGGAGAAUAUCACAUUAGUCUGUGCCUUGUGCAUCAUGAAUAUCACAUAUUUUGUUUGUACAACAGUUGACUUAACUCCAUUUUUCAUUCAUGACUUCUAAAUCUAUAUAUAGCGUUUCAGUUUUUCUUUCCUUCAAUGUAAAUGUUUUAAGCUCUAACUCUUUAAUUGAUUUUGUAAUGAGUUUCCUUACUUAUAUUCUAUUUAUUCUUUCUCUUACAGUUUCUAGUUCCAUAGCAGGCGAUAUCACAUCCAUUACUCAAUCUAAAUUCAUCAGUGAUGGAGAAACCAUCGUUUCACCAAAUCGAUUAUUUGAGCUUGCUUUCUUUAGUAUUAAGAAUCCAGACAAACGCUAUCUCGGAAUUCAAUUCAAGAACAUUUCAACUCAAAAUGUUGUCUGGGUUGCAAACGGUGGCCAGCCAAUCAAUGACUCUUCUGCAGUUUUGAAGCUAAACAGUUCUGGCAGUUUGGUCCUUACUCACAACAACACCGUUGUUUGGUACACAAAUUCUUCCACAAAAGCGCAGAACCCAGUGGCGAAACUCUUGGAUACUGGUAAUCUUGUCAUAAAAGAAGAUAGUGUUGAUGAAACCUAUCUGUGGCAAAGCUUUGACUACCCAUCUAACACAUUGUUGGCAGGUAUGGUUAUGAUUGAUGGUCUAGUUCUUAAAUCAUGAUAUUGUGUAGCGUCUAAUUCUAUCUAGGAAUUUGUUUCGAUAAACGACUUAAUUUUCCGACUUCUAAAUUCCAACAGGUAUGAAGUUGGGAUGGGACCGUAAAAGAAAAUUGAAUAGGCGACUCAUAGCAUGGAAGAGUGAUGAUGAUCCAACACCAGGAGACUUUACUUGGGGCGUGGUAUUGAAUCAGUACCCUGAUAUCUAUAUGAUGAGGGGAGAAAAAAAGCUCUACAGACUUGGACCGUGGAACGGCUUGCGUUUUAGUGGUAGGCCAGAGAUGAAGCCUAAUCGUGUUUUCAGUUACAAUUUUGUCUACAAUAACGAAGAGGUUUAUUACUCGUGGAACAAUAGAGAUAGCUCUCUAAUAUCAAAAGUGGUACUUAACCAAACCAACAACGAACGUCCUCGCUAUACAUGGUCAAAUCUCGACAAGUCAUGGAUGCUUCAGUCAAGAAUGCCAGGUGACUAUUGUGACCGUUAUGGUCUAUGUGGAAAGAACGGAUAUUGCAGCAUUACUAAUUCACCAGUAUGUGAAUGUUUACAAGGGUUUCAGCCUAAUUUUCCUGAAAAAUGGAACUCAAUGGACUGGUCCGAAGGGUGUGUCAGAAACCCUCCAUUGAACUGCAUCAGUGAUGGAUUUGUCUCAAAGGCUGGCUUGAAAGUUCCGGAUACUGUAAAUACUACCUUGGACAAGAGUAUUGGUCUAGAACAAUGUAAAGACAGAUGCUUGAAAAGUUGUUCCUGCAUGGCUUAUACAAAUACAAAUAUAAGUGGAGCAGGAAGUGGCUGUGUUAUGUGGUUUGGUGAUUUAUUUGAUAUCAAACUUUUUCCAGUAGGUGGACAAGUUCUAUAUAUCAGAAUGCCUGCAGAAUUAGGUGAAAACUUCAUUAAUUUUCCUUUUAUUAUUCGCCUUGUAUUUGAAUAUGGAAUUUAACUUUAGCUGUUUUGUUUAUGCGAAGUCAACAAUAAUACUGAGGAUGAGCACAGGAGGAACCUUACAAAAAUAGUUGUAAUUAGUGUUUCUGCAGCUUUGGGAAUGUUUUUACUUGCUAUUUACUUUUCCUACCGAUUUAGGAAGAGCAUUGCUGGUAAAUCUAUUCUUCCAUUCUCUAACAUUUCACCGAAAAAGUGGCAUCGGCUACAUAGAUUUGAAUUAUUAUUUUUUCCAUUUUCCAGGGAAGUCAAUGACAGAAGGUGACUAUGAAAGAUAUAUGGACGAUCACGAUUUUCCCUUGCUUAGUUUGUCGACAAUUAUUAUUGCCACCGACAACUUCUCAGAGAAGAACAAAAUUGGAGAAGGGGGUUUUGGACCUGUUUAUAUGGUAACUCAAUAUUGGAACAUGAUUACUAUUACUAAGUAAGAAUUGCUAGAAAAGUAGUAAUUAUAAAGAACAUCUAACCAUAUGAAUGUGAUAAAUGAUUAUCCAGGGAAAAUUAGGAAGUGGGCUAGAAAUUGCUGUAAAGAGACUUUCACAGAGCUCAAAACAAGGGAUGACAGAGUUCAUUAAUGAAGUAAAACUUAUUGCAAAUGUUCAGCAUCGAAAUCUUGUAAAACUUAUCGGCUGUUGCAUUCAGAAACACGAAAAAUUGCUAGUUUAUGAAUACAUGGCUAAUGGUAGCCUAGACUACCUCAUCUUUGGUAUGUAGUCUCAAUAAGUUUUAUAAACUCAAUAGUUUUUUAUGAAAUAGUGAUUAGUGAAAGUUUGUAAUAAACUUUGAAUAUUCAAUAUUUCAUGACGUGUUUGUUAUGAAUUAUGCAGAUCGUACCAAAAGUCAACUGCUAGAUUGGCCUAAGCGUUUCGACAUAAUAUGUGGAAUUGCUAGAGGGCUUAUGUAUCUUCAUCAAGAUUCUAGAUUAAGGAUUGUCCAUAGAGAUCUCAAAGCAAGUAAUGUUUUACUGGACGAUACUAUGAAUCCAAAAAUAUCAGAUUUUGGAAUGGCUAGAACUUUUGGGGGAAACCAAAUUGAAGGAAACACAAAUAGAAUUGUGGGGACAUAGUAAGUGUUUAACUAUCCAAAACCAAGUUUAUUUUCACACAUAUGAUGUAUAUUUUUAUAUUUUUCUCUCAAUGGUUUAUUGCAGUGGGUACAUGGCACCAGAGUACGCUAUUGAUGGACAAUUUUCUUCGAAAUCUGAUGUUUUCAGCUUUGGUGUUUUAAUAUUAGAGAUUAUAUGUGGGAAGAAAAACCGAGUGCAUAAUCGUGCAAAGCAAACCCGUAACCUUGUUGCUUGUGUAAGCACGUGGACAAAUGUUAAUUUGUUCAUGUUAAAAGUUUAUCUGUUACUAACUUGAUUUUUUUAGUAAAUAACAAUUUUCUUCUUUUAUGAUUUAGGCAUGGACAUUCUGGAAACACGGAGGUGCUUCACAACUAAUUGACUCAAACAUAGAGAAUUCAUGCAUUGUGUCAGAAGUAUCGCGUUGCAUCCACGUAGGGCUCUUAUGCGUGCAACAAUACCCGGAAGAUAGGCCUACAAUGGCUGAUGUGAUUCUAAUGCUAGGGAGUGAAAUGGCAUUGGAUGAUCCUAAGGAGCCAAGUUUUAUCACAAGGAAGGAAUGUGUUGAAGCAAAUUCAAGCUCAAGUGGGAAGGAUAUAAGUUCAAACUAUGAAAUGACCAUAACUACUUUAAGUGUUCGGUGAAAAUCAAUAAGAUUGAAGUCAAGGAGAAAUAAUUCCAUGGUAAACAAAGUAACUAAUAAAGGACUAGUGUUCAAAUGCUUUUGUACAUGAAUGUUGAAAACUUUAUAAUAAAAUACAGAAAUGUAAACGAGAUUCUUGUUCUGCAAGAGUUUACCAUGUUUAGUUCUUGGACAGUCUACCAUUUAGAUACUUGGACAUGGCAUCUUAGAUAAUCCUAUAUAGCCAGUGUCAGUCAAUUCCAUCUUUCUUGGUACUAUUAUACUCAAACCUGCAAUUCAAAAUAUUAAAAAAAUGAAUAAGUAAUCAUUUUAGUCCCUAAUCUAUAUACUUUAGAUAUUAAAUUAGAGAGAAAAUGAUACUCCAUGGACUAAAUUGAUGGUUUAUUCAUUAAUAAUUCCCGAGAUAGAAAGUCAAAAUAAUACUGCUAUGACUAAGGAAUCAGUCCAAGUAAGAAAUGAUGCUACUGACCAUUAUUUGUGAAGUCUCAUCACAGCAACAAUAAUAUUGUCUUUGGUGAAUACAAAUCACCCACAUGGUUUUUUGACUUGGACUUCGGAAUGAGGAACAAAUCGUGUGUUUUAUAAACUUCCUCAUUCUCAAUCUAAGACUCGGACACAGUUUAGCUAAAUCCGAUCAACAAUAACCAAAUACUAGUGUCAUAGAAUGGACAUUCUUUCUUUCAUGACUAUCAUGAUUGCUUACAUGAUUGUACCCAUUAUAGCAACUAGUUCCAUCAGUGUGUCUGAGUCUUUAAGGGACGGUGAAACUUUAGUUUCAAAAGGUGGACAAUUUGAACUGGGCUUUUUUAGGCCGGGCAAUUCUACAAGACAUUAUCUUGGGAUUUGGUACAAGCAGUUGCCUAUGCAAAAAGUUGUUUGGGUUGCAAAUAGGACCAACCCCAUCAACAAUACCUUUGGCAUCUUAACACUGAGUACCACAGGCAAUCUCAUACUCAUGCAAAAUGAAACUUCUGUUUGGAGUACAACAUCAGAGAAACAAGCACAGAAACCAAUAGCAGAGCUCUUGGACAGUGGCAAUCUUGUGAUAAGAAACCAAGGAGAAACAGACCCAGAAGGAGGAGCCUACUUGUGGCAAAGCUUUGACUAUCCGUGUGAUACAAUUUUGCCAGGGAUGAAGUUGGGAUGGGAUCUCAGAAGUGAUUUUGAACGGAGAAUAACUUCUUGGAAGAGUCCUGAUGAUCCGUCGCCAGGAGAUCUUUCUUUGGGUCUUGUGCUUCAUAAUUAUCCAGAGUUUUAUCUGAUGAACGGAACAGAGAAAUACUAUCGGAUUGGACCAUGGAAUGGACUUCAAUUUAGUGGCUUGUCGGAUAGAAAACAAAAUCCUGUAUAUGAUUUUAAGUAUGUUGCUAAUAAUGAUUUGAAUUAUGUGCCUAAUAAGGAUGAGAUGUUUUACUCCUUUACUCGCAAGAAUUCUUCUCUCAUAGUUAGUGUUUCGGUGGACCAAUACUCCUUUGUGAUCUCUAUGUGGACAGAGGAUUCUUGGGAGUCGUAUUCAACCACCCCAAUGGACGAGUGUGAUAAGUAUGGAUUCUGUGGAGCCUAUGCCAGAUGCUCAGUUGACAAUUUAGAUCUUUGCCAAUGUUUAAUUGGGUUCAUUCCACAGUCACCGCAACAAUGGGCGUUAUCAAACUGGAGUCAAGGGUGUGUCCGUAACAUACCAUUAAGUUGCAACAACUCACAAGUAGAGGAUCGGUUGUUCGUAUACAGAGGCGUCAAAGUACCAGAUACUACACAUACUUUAUUGUAUGAGAAUAUUGAUUUAGAGUUAUGCAGAACCAUGUGCUUGAAUAAUUGCACUUGUACAGCUUACACUGAUUCAGACAUAAGUGGAAAUGGUAGUGGCUGUGUCAUGUGGUUUGGUGAUCUAAUUGACAUAAAACUGUUUUACACCGGUGGCCAAGAUCUCUAUAUCCGUCUAGCUCGGGAAGAAUUAGGUAAGCAAAAACGUUUUCACUCCUUUAGUUCCCUUUGUUGUGGAAAUCCAAGGAUGUAACUUUUAAGUUUAUUUGUUUCAUACUUCAAGAGACUUCAAACAGAGAGGCUUCAAAAGGGCGCAACAAAAGCGUGAUAACCAUAGCUACUACCACUGCUGCUGCGAUUUCUGGGAUGCUAUUAUUUUGCAUAUAUGCCAUAUAUAGAGUCCGAAGGAGAAUUGCUGGUAAAUUAACUUUUUCUUUCUUAUUAACUAAUUCUCAAGAGACACUCUUUGGGAGUAAUAACCGCUUAUCAUUAAAUUUGAGGCCAAGUGGUUUGUAAUAUGGCAUUGCUGCCAUUGUUUAUAUAGUUCAGGGUUGUAAAAAUUUUCCUAGAUUGGAAGACACAACUGUCUCACAUAUUGGUAGAAUCAAAACAUUGAGGUUCAUAACCUAGUAAGGGUAGCAAAACUUGUCGGGUUCAAGGACUUGGCUGGGGAAUGCCCCACCCAUUGAUGUAAUACAAAUUUGAAAUGAAUCUCUUAUCAUUCAAUGAAUUUUUCUGUUAAAUUUCAAAAAAACAAACAAACAUGACAUUGAAUUUGGAUAGUUCAAUGACCAAGAGUUUCAAGAUACAAAUGUAUGAAAUUGAAAGAGCUUUAUCUAUUUCAGUUCUAUUGACAUCUCAAAAUUUAAUAUACCAUAUUUAUCUAACUUAAUCACCUCAAAUGAUCCUCUCCUCUCAAGUUUCAUAAUAUUUCUGAAUAUAUAAUUUCCUCUCUUUCGUUUUUUAGAUAAGUCAACGACAGAAGAUAACAUUGAAAAGCAUCUAGAGGAUAUGGAUUUACCGCUAUUUGAUCUUCAAACAAUUGUUAUAGCCACUAGCAACUUCUCCUCGAAUAAUAAGAUUGGACAAGGUGGUUUUGGAUCUGUAUACAAGGUAACUGAAAAUAAAUUCAAGUAUUGAGUACUAACCAGAGAAGUUUUUAUAUUAUUAAACAAAAGCGAUUAUGCAGGGAAAAUUAGCAGAUGGGCAAGAAAUUGCUGUAAAGAGACUUUCAACUAACUCUGGACAAGGAAUUACGGAGUUCCUAACAGAAGUAAAACUGAUUGCAAAACUUCAACACCGAAAUCUGGUUAAGCUUCUUGGGUGUUGUGUUGGAGGACAAGAAAAACUACUAGUAUAUGAAUACAUGGCUAACGGUAGCCUUGACUCCUUUAUCUUUGGUAUGAAAUAUGAAAAUUGCUUACAUUAGACGCAACAUAUUUAUUUAUCUGUGUUAUCAAAUAUCCGCCAUUGCGGCGCUAUGGCGGAUAUGCAGGGUGGUUUUUGGACUUGCCGGAAAGGUAAAUAUUGCUCAAGAUCGCAGGUUUUUCCGCCAUAUCCACUAUAACAGCGCCGCAAAUCGAUUAGUACGGCAGGAGUUUGACUCUCCACCAUGGACCACCUUGCGCCAUCGACAACACUGAUUUAUCUACGUCUGUAAUAUUUGUUUAUUUAUCAAAUUGACAUUGACAUGUUUGUUUUGCAAAAAUAGAUAAAAUAAAAGGUAAACUGUUGGAGUGGCCUGAGCGGUUCCAAAUAAUAUUUGGAGUUGCUAGGGGACUUGUGUAUCUUCAUCAAGAUUCUCGAUUAAGGAUUAUUCAUAGAGAUCUUAAAGCAAGUAAUGUAUUGUUGGAUGACAAGUUGAAUCCAAAAAUAUCAGAUUUUGGAAUGGCCAGAUCUUUUGGAGGAGAUCAAAUUGAAGGAAAUACAAAUCGAGUAGUUGGAACUUAGUGAGAGUCUAUCUGGUUUGGAUUUCCAUUUUCUACAUUUAGCAAAUUCUGCAUUUGUCAAAGUCAAACAAUCUAGAUCGAUCAACCACGACAAAUGCAGAGUCUCUAGCUUGAUAUUACUUACUUUUAUCUUAUACAUGAAUAUUGUUAUUCUAAUUGUUCGUACCAGCGGAUACAUGGCACCAGAGUAUGCUGCUGAUGGACAAUUUUCAAUCAAAUCAGACGUCUUUAGCUUUGGAGUUUUACUAUUGGAGAUUAUAUGUGGGAACAAAAAUAGAGCACUUUACCACGAAAACAAGACACUUAACCUAGUUGGUUAUGUAAGAACUUACACGUUUGUUUAUCUACUUAUCAAUGUUGAAGUUGAAAGGUGAAUAAGAGUAAGUUAUAGAAAUAACUUAUAUGUUGAUCAUGUAGGCAUGGACAGUUUGGAAAGAGGGAAACGCAUUGGAGUUGAUUGAGUUAAGAAUAAAGGAGUCGUGUGUUGUUUCAGAGGUAUUGAGAUGCAUUCAUGUGAGUUUGUUGUGUGUGCAACAGUACCCGGAGGAUAGGCCUACAAUGACAUCUAUAGUUCAAAUGCUAGGUAGUGAAAUGGAAUUGGUUGAGCCUAAAGAACCAGGUUUCUUUCCGAGGAAAGCUUCUUGUGAUGAAGGGAAUAAAAAUGAAAUCAGUUCAAACGAGGAAUUAACCGUUACAUCUCUUAAUGGUCGAUGAAAAACGCGGGUAGUAGAUUACCUGGUUGUUGCUGCCAGAAUCGGAGUCUCGCUGCGUGCCACGGCCAAGUUUCGAUGGUUGCUCUCUUUAGAAUCUUGUUGUGCGCCACUUGAGAUUAGUUUCAAUUUUUGUAUUUAUUCUCUUGAUUUCAUUUGGGUUUUCAAAGACAUGGUCCUUACAUUGAGUUGGUUACUUCACUCAAUAAUCUUGAUGAACAUGGAAUGUGAUGGAUUAUUAAUUGGGGAAUUUUUUACUUUUGCAAGAGGGGAAGGAAAUGCCUUAACACAAGAAAAAUGAGCUUAGAAAUUUAUUUAUUUUUAUUUUUGAGUGAUCUACCUGAAAGUGUGAGAGUGUGUUAGGUGAGAAGACUCGUUUUUG